CUCGGAGUACAUGCCCUGAAGAUGACACAGCGGAAAUUUUGUGAAGAAGAAGUCAAAAUUGAUGACACAGUUUUGACAUGUUUGAAGUUGGUGCAACAGUCACCAGCACCCAGGCAGUCGUCGGAGCAGUGGCACCUGCUCUCCGUCAACCUCUUUUCUCCACAGCGCAGGUCUCAGACUCCAGGAUGGGAAAAUACUUAACAAGAAAGAAACGGAUGAAGACACAGAAGGGGACCACGAGACCCUAUGUUGUAUUUUCAAUAGUUAAUCUGUUGUCAAUUUCUAUUCUGAUUUUUAUUGUUAAAAAGGCUAGAAAAAGACACCCCUGUUUAUCUGAAUUAGCUAGGCUACUCACUAUAGGCUAGAGAUUUGAGUCACUGCAAUUAAAAUUGUUCUUACUAUGUAUUGCAUGUUUGAGGAGACUACUCUAUAUACUGUUAUAAAUACAUUUACAUUUUAGUCAUUUAGCAGACGCUC